AUUGAACGCUGGCGGCAGGCUUAACACAUGCAAGUCGAACGAGCGGCGGACGGGUGAGUAAUGUCUGGGAACCUGCCUGAUGGAGGGGGAUAACUACUGGAAACGGUAGCUAAUACCGCAUACUAUCAGCUGUGCCACUAUGGGAUUAGCUAGUGGGUGGGGUAAAGGCUCCCCUAGGCGACGAUCCCUAGCUGGUCUGAGAGGAUGACCCGCCACACUGGAAUGUAGACACGGUCCAGACUCCUACGGGAGGCAGCAGUGGGGAAUAUUGCACAAUGGGCGCAAGCCUGAUGCAGCCAUGCCGCGUGUGUGAAGAAGGCCUUCGGGUUGUAAAGAACUUUCAGCAGGGAGGCGUUACUCGCAGAAGAAGCACCGGCUAACUCCGUGCCAGCAGCCGCGGUAAUAC
rnacentral:rRNA from 1 species